AAUCAUCUACUAUAACAGAGGUGUUUCUAAGUCUCAUACUAAGUCAUUACCUCAAACAAGGGAGAAGAAUGUGAUUCUUUCACUUAGAAAGAAGCAGACUCUUUAUUCUUCUCUUACUCAAGAGAUUCUUGACUUGAAAUUAGAGAAAAUGAAGCAUGGCCAGCUUAAGAAAAGAUCAAAAAAAGAAGAAAGUGGUGUGCUUGUAAUAUUGAGAUGAAUUUGUGAAUUUGUGAAUUUAAUGAAAGAGGCAAAUUUGUACAAUGAUUAUUGAUUAAUGAAAGAGGCUAUAAAAAUUUUAUUUUGUGAA